rnacentral:pre_miRNA from 1 species
UCUCCCAACCCUUGUACCAGUGUCAGCUGUUGCACCUACUGGUACAGAGGAUGGAAGGGA